rnacentral:rRNA from 1 species
UGGGGAAUUUUGGACAAUGGGCGAAAGCCUGAUCCAGCAAUGCCGCGUGUGUGAAGAAGGCCUUCGGGUUGUAAAGCACUUUUGUCCGGAAAGAAAUCCUUGGCUCUAAUACAGUCGGGGGAUGACGGUACCGGAAGAAUAAGCACCGGCUAACUACGUGCCAGCAGCCGCGGUAAUACGUAGGGUGCAAGCGUUAAUCGGAAUUACUGGGCGUAAAGCGUGCGCAGGCGGUUUGCUAAGACCGAUGUGAAGUCCCCGGGCUCAACCUGGGAACUGCAUUGGUGACUGGCAGGCUAGAGUACGGCAGAGGGGGGUAGAAUUCCACGUGUAGCAGUGAAAUGCGUAGAGAUGUGGAGGAAUACCGAUGGCGAAGGCAGCCCCCUGGGCCAAUACUGACGCUCAUGCACGAAAGCGUGGGGGAGCAAACAGGAUUAGAUACCCUGGUAGUCCACGCCCUAAACGAUGUCAACUAGUUGUUGGGGAUUCAUUUCCUUAGUAACGUAGCUAACGCGUGAAGUUGACCGCCUGGGGAGUACGGUCGCAAGAUUAAAACUCAAAUGAAUUGACGGGGUCAU